rnacentral:rRNA from 1 species
GACAGAGGAUGCAAGCGUUAUCCGGAAUGAUUGGGCGUAAAGCGUCUGUAGGUGGCUUUUCAAGUCCGCCGUCAAAUCCCAGGGCUCAACCCUGGACAGGCGGUGGAAACUACCAAGCUGGAGUACGGUAGGGGCAAGCGGAACUUCCGGUGGAGCGGUGAAAUGCGUAGAUAUCGGAAGGAACGCCGGUGGCGAAAGCGGCGUGCUGGACCCCUCCUGACGCUGGAGGCGCGAAAGCCAGGGGAGCGAACGG